UACGGAGGGGGCGAGCGUUAUUCGGAAUUAUUGGGCGUAAAGGGCGCGUAGGCGGCUGAACAAGUCAAAGGUGAAAUCCCUCGGCUCAACUGAGGAACUGCCUUUGAAACUGUUCGGCUUGAGGCCGGGAGGGGGUAGCGGAAUUCCCAGUGUAGCGGUGAAAUGCGUAGAUAUUGGGAGGAACACCAGUGGCGAAGGCGGCUCACUGGACCGGAACUGACGCUGAGGCGCGAAAGCGUGGGGAGCAAACGGG
rnacentral:rRNA from 1 species